CACAUGACUCUCGGCAACAGAUAUCUCGGCUCUCGCAUCGAUGAAGGACAUAGCGAAAUGCGAUACCUGGUGUGAAUUGCAGAAUCCCCCGAACCAUCGAGUUUUUGAACGCAAGUUGCGCUCAAGGCCUUUUGGCUGAGGGCACGCCUGCCUGGGCGUCACGC
rnacentral:rRNA from 1 species